AUCUUCUGCUUUGCUCCUUGUACAACUGUCGUUCCCAACUGUUGUGGAACCUUCUGGUUGCAAAAUUCCAGCCCUCACAUAGUAACAAGAGAGUCAAAACAGUCCCUCCCUCCCGAGCUCUAAUCACACAACAGUUUCGUAACCAUGUUCUCUCAGAAAGUUCCAUAGUCCACCCCUCUGGAACAAAAUGAAAUGAUUUCCAGAAAGGGGCUGAAAUGCUUGAAGAAAGAAAAACAUCAGGCAACACAUCCUUCUUUGAUCCAAUUAGUUCCAUCCCAUUCCACAGACGCUUCCUGUAUAUAAGACGUGUCAGGUCCUUUGAGAGUUUCUGGGGAUAAAUAAGAGCCAGUCCAUGUGGUGACCACAGACGAUGACCACAAUGCUGUAUGCUAGGAACGAUAAUGGAGGUAUCUGACCACUGAUACGACAACUGAGAUUUGUUAUGGCAGGAACACCAUCAUUUCCAGAACCACUUGGCGGGAACUGAGGUAAAAACAAACAAACAAAAACGUUUUCCAUUUGAACAGGCUUAUCUUUAGCCUGUUUUUCAGAAGUCAAGACACUUGGCAACUUCAGACUUCUGAAGUGACUGAAGUUGGAAAUGGUCAGGACAAAACUGCCCAGCCUGCUCUCAGAGGGGGGCAAGCAGGCAGCCGCUGGGCACUCUCGACUCCAGAUACGAGAGCGCUGUGGCUGCAACAGGUCCCACGGAGCGCUGUGGUUG